rnacentral:tRNA from 1 species
CCCUUUGACAUCCUCAGAGCGCAUCGAUAAUAUGCGCCCCGUUCACGCGGACUGUUAAUCCGUAUGUCACUGGUUCGAGUCCAGUCAGAGGAGCCA